UAAGAAUACGUAGGACUCGUGAGGCAAAUCAGGAAGCUGUUCUUCUGUCAUUGUGCACAAGAACUUUUAAAUCAAAAGUCAUUAUCUUUAGUGGAACAAAACAAGCUGCCCAUAGACUGAAAAUUUUGUUCGGGUUAGCUGGCCUCAAAGCAGCUGAGCUUCAUGGAAACCUAACCCAAGCACAACGUCUUGAUUCUCUGGAACUUUUCAGAAAGCAAGAGGUUGAUUUUCUCAUUGCUACUGAUGUAGCCGCUCGAGGACUUGACAUCAUUGGUGUUCAAACAGUUAUAAAUUAUGCUUG